rnacentral:rRNA from 1 species
ACUCAAAGGAAUUGACGGGGACCCGCACAAGCGGUGGAGCAUGUGGUUUAAUUCGACGAUACACGAAGAACCUUACCUGGACUUGACAUAGUAAGAACUUUCUAGAGAUAGAUUGGUGUCUGCUUGCAGAAACUUAUAUACAGGUGCUGCACGGCUGUCGUCAGCUCGUGUCGUGAGAUGUUGGGUUAAGUCCCGCAACGAGCGCAACCCUCGUCAUUAGUUGCUAACAGUUCGGCUGAGAACUCUAAUGAGACUGCCUACGCAAGUAGGAGGAAGGUGAGGACGACGUCAAGUCAUCAUGGCCCUUACGUCCAGGGCUACACACGUGCUACAAUGGGGUAUACAAAGAGCAGCAAUACGGUGACGUGGAGCAAAUCUCAAAAAUAUCUCCCAGUUCGGAUUGUAGUCUGCAACUCGACUACAUGAAGUUGGAAUCGCUAGUAAUCGUAGAUCAGCUAUGCUACGGUGAAUACGUUCCCGGGUCUUGUACACACCGCCCGU